CCUACGGGUGGCAGCAGUGGGGAAUAUUGGACAAUGGGGGGAACCCUGAUCCAGCCAUGCCGCGUGUGUGAAGAAGGCCCUCGGGUUGUAAAGCACUUUCAGGGAGGAAGAACGCCUGGUGGUUAAUACCCAUCAGGAAAGACAUCACUCACAGAAGAAGCACCGGCUAACUCCGUGCCAGCAGCCGCGGUAAUACGGAGGGUGCGAGCGUUAAUCGGAAUUACUGGGCGUAAAGCGCGCGUAGGUGGCUUGAUAAGCCGGUUGUGAAAGCCCGGGCUCAACCUGGGAACGGCAUCCGGAACUGUCAAGCUAGAGUGCAGGAGAGGAAGGUAGAAUUCCCGGUGUAGCGGUGAAAUGCGUAGAGAUCGGGAGGAAUACCAGUGGCGAAGGCGGCCUUCUGGACUGACACUGACACUGAGGUGCGAAAGCGUGGGUAGCAAACAGGAUUAGAUACCCGGGUAGUC
rnacentral:rRNA from 1 species